rnacentral:rRNA from 1 species
GACGAACGCUGGCGGCGUGCUUAACACAUGCAAGUCGAACGGAAAGGCCUGCUUUCCCUUGUGGAUUGCGGGUACUCGAGUGGCGAACGGGUGAGUAACACGUGAGUGAUCUGCCCCCAACUUGGGUAUAAGCCUGGGAAACUGGGUCUAAUUCCCGAUAGGACUGCAGGGUGGUGCCUGUGGUGGCAAACGAUUUUCUAGUGGUUGGGGAUGAGCUCGCGGCCUAUCAGCUUGUUGGUGGGGUAAUGGCCUACCAAGGCGGCGACGGGUAGCCGGCCGGAGAGGGUGGACGGACACAGUGGGACUGAGAUACGGCCCAGACUCCUACGGGAGGAAGCAGUGGGGAAGAUUGGACAAUGGGCGGAAGGCUGAUGCAGCGACGCCGCGUGGGGGAUGACGGGCUUCGGGUGGUAAACUCCUUUCGACCGCGAGGAAGCCACAUGGUUGGAAGGGUGGUGACGGUAGUGGUAGAAGAAGCACCGGCUAACAACGUG